CCUGACGUAGACGCUAUUCCCUAAGAUUAACCCAUGCAUGUUUUUGAAGAUUAUUAUCUGAAAAGUGGACUGCUCAGUAACUACUCACUUUAUUUAAUGUGCACCGCAGAUAACUACGUUAAAGUGUAGAUAACAUGUGUACAGUAAGAGUGAGACCUAUCAGCUAGUUGUUAGGGUAAUGGCUUAACAAGGCAGUGACGGGUAACGGUAUUACUUUGUAAUAUUCCGGAGAAGGAGCCUGAGAGACGGCUACUAAGUCUAAGGAUUGCAGCAGGGGCGAAACUUGACCUAUGGAUUUUAUCUGAGGCAGUUAUGGGAAGUAAUAUAUUAUUGUUUCAUAUUUUAAAAAUAUAUGAGGGGAUUAAUUGGAGGGCAAAUCAAGUGCCAGCAGCCGCGGUAAUACUUGUUCCAGGAGUGUGUAUGAUGAUUGAUGCAGUUAAAAAGUCCGUAGUUUAUUUUU
rnacentral:rRNA from 1 species